AGGUAGGAAGAAGGAAGUAUAAGCCGUAGUAAGCAGUAACCACCCGCAUUGGUGUACACGUCUCCAUCCGUCUCUUUCCCCUCCUCCCUUCCCUUGCCAGCCCAAACUCCACCCAAUCUGCAGCUAAUCAUCCAUAAACUACUCUAUCUCCCAAUUAGAAAAAGGAAAGAAAUCAUCGAGAAAUCGCCCAUGGCGAAAGAAGAAGAAAAAAAAAUCUUACAGAAAAAAAAAUUAGGGGAAAAGCAGAGAGCAACUUGGGUUGAUUUCAGAUGAGGACUACAAGUUGGAUGUACCAAUUUGAUGGUAUUGCAAAUCUUUCUUGAGAUGGGGAACGGCCUGUUUAUUGAUUUCGAGAUUGUAUACACCAAAGGUCAGGAAUAUUGCGCAAUACAGUCACCCUUAAGAAUGAAGUAUGAAAUCUGAGCCAGUGAACCUGUUUACUGUUUAUUCCUUUCUAGUUCCACUUCCAUUGUUUAUUUAGAACCAUAGGAUUAUGGGGUAUAAAACAGAAAAGCUUCUUAUUUAGUUUGAUCGUGGUCAUUGGUUCCUUCCUUCUAUGAAGUACUAAUGUUCGAUGUUCUUGUGCCAAUGUAAACUUCCAUAUAUCUUCACCCAUUCUUGUGUGCAAAAGGUACUCCAUAGAUCUGCAGCCACUGCUUUGUGUGAAGGCACAUGCUUUGGUGGUAGUCAAGACUCAAGAAGCCCUAUAGAAUCUUUAUCAUCAAUUGUUUAUUUUCUUGCGCAUAUUCUAACACCCUUGUCUUUUCGCUUCUAAUUAUGCUUAUAAGCCAAAUUUUGAUUUUUCAAUCAUAAAUUUAGAGUUGAUUUUGGGGGUUUGUCAUCGUAAUUUAGUUUUCAUCCUUUGCUUUUAGAUUGCCAAGAACACAUAUAUAAUUUUUUUUAUUCAUAAAUUAUUUUUUAUUUGUAAAUAUGCCGUUACAGUGACCCCUAAGUAUUUUGAGAGAUGAGAUGGCUUCACUUUUUUAAGUUAGUUUUUAUUAUUCAUACUUUGUCUUGCUCAAGUCACAUAAGAUAGUUCAGGUGGAUAAGGUUUGGCUUCAAUUAUCCAGUAUUGCUUAACGUGCUCUAUUCUUUUCCUACAAGGUGAUGCUUGUUUUUUAUUUCAGUUCUCACCGCAAUCACCACCCUUUGUUUUCAUGGGGAGUGGAGUGGACCUUUUUAUCAUUUAUCUUUAAUACUUGGAAAGAAACUUCAUUGCCAAAUUAUUUAGUGUCUUCUGUGAAGAAUGUAGUUGAAUUAUUGCUUUGUUGUCUAUUAUACAACCUGUAUGUUCUUAUUUGGCUCAUGACACCUAUUGGGAUGCAGCGAUCAUUCAGUUUAAGAGUGGUAAAGAACACAAUAGUGUUUAUGUAUUAUUUUUUUUGCUCGGCCUGUAGCAUGAUGAUGUAUACUAGUAUCAAUUUGGGUGCUUUGGAACAGUGGUGUUUCUUUGUAUAGAUCUUGACAUUUUAACGCUGCCUUGCACCAAACUUUAUUGGCUCUACCAAAAGUUGGUUUAUUUGGGAGAUUCAUGGCAAGCGUUUUGUUUCCUCUUUGGUAUUUGCACUCAGGGUUUUUUAUGACGAAAACACCAGGAGAGAUUCAUGUGGAUAGAAAUCAGACUGCAGGCUUCAUAUCGCUUGCUUUCAUCAUGUGUGCCCUUCUGUAAGGUCGGAGAUUUUCCGUUUCGAGUAUAUUAACUUCCAAGUUCGCAUGAUUAUGAAUGGGGACGCAAUGACGUUGUUAUUUUGCGAAUCCUGGAGCAUAUUUCUGUUGGCCAAUAUGCAUGCACAAAAUGAUAUUAUCCAUUAACUUGGCAAGAGAAGACAAAAGCAUCACGAAAGUUAGCACCACAUGUGGAUAUUUUACAUGGUCAGGAUGUUAAAUUUUCUACAAAACAGCAUUCGCAUUCUCCAAGAUAAAUAUAAAAUAGGCCUAGAGCUAAUUUCAGAACAGGUUUCAGUGGUAUGAUUUUACAACAGGCAGUGCUCUGAUCUGAUCAAAUUCUGUAUGCAUGUUCCAGCAAAUGUUUACACGGCAUCAGCGCCUCCAACCAUGUGACCACCAUCAACAGCCAUAGCGUCUGCAUGGUUUGCUUGAUGCUGGUUCCCAGCAUAUGGCGCGUUCCUUCGCACGCGAUUGUGCUCAUCUGCUUUCAACAAAAGAAAAGAGCAUGUCA